UACGUAGGGUCCGAGCGUUGUCCGGAAUUAUUGGGCGUAAAGAGCUCGUAGGCGGUUUGUCGCGUCUGCCGUGAAAGUCCGGGGCUCAACUCCGGAUCUGCGGUGGGUACGGGCAGACUAGAGUGAUGUAGGGGAGACUGGAAUUCCUGGUGUAGCGGUGAAAUGCGCAGAUAUCAGGAGGAACACCGAUGGCGAAGGCAGCCUCCUGGGCCA
rnacentral:rRNA from 1 species